CCUACGGGUGGCUGCAGUGGGGAAUCUUCCGCAAUGGGCGCAAGCCUGACGGAGCAACGCCGCGUGAGUGAAGAAGGUCUUCGGAUCGUAAAGCUCUGUUGACGGGGACGAACGUGCGAGAGGUGAAUAACCUCUAGCAAUGACGGUACCUGUCGAGGAAGCCACGGCUAACUACGUGCCAGCAGCCGCGGUAAUACGUAGGUGGCGAGCGUUGUCCGGAAUCAUUGGGCGUAAAGGGAGCGCAGGCGGGCAUGUAAGUCUUUCUUAAAAGUGCGGGGCUCAACCCCGUGAUGGGAAAGAAACUAUAUGUCUUGAGUACAGGAGAGGAAAGCGGAAUUCCCAGUGUAGCGGUGAAAUGCGUAGAUAUUGGGAGGAACACCAGUGGCGAAGGCGGCUUUCUGGACUGCAACUGACGCUGAGGCUCGAAAGCCAGGGGAGCGAACGGGAUUAGAUACCCCAGUAGUC
rnacentral:rRNA from 1 species